CGGAAGUCGAGCCCCGGCUGCUGGCGGGGGCGCGGCGGCCUCAUGAAUUAUGCACCAAGCCUGGCGUCACCCCGACCGUUUGGGAGAUGGAGAUCCGGAGGACCACAGCUCCCGACCUGCCUGGGCGAGGACACUCCUCCACGGAACCGCAUCCCAACAGACCGACAACCACCUGGAGGCGGGAGGCCUGCGUACCUGCCGUCUAAGCAAGCGCUCUACCACCACCCGAGCCACGAUUCCAUUGAACAGUUUUUGGGUACUUCAUUGGGUGAUCAGAAUGUCUCUCGGGCUUUCCUGUCCAGGCUGGCUUCGAACCAC